CCUACGGGAGGCAGCAGUGGGGAAUAUUGGGCAAUGGGCGCAAGCCUGACCCAGCAACGCCGCGUGAAGGAAGAAGGCCCUCGGGUUGUAAACUUCUUUUGUCAGGGACGAAACAAAUGCCGGUACCUGACGAAUAAGCCACGGCUAACUACGUGCCAGCAGCAGCGGUAAUACGUAGGUGGCAAGCGUUAGCCGGAUUUACGGGGUGUAAAGGGCGUGUAGGGGGUGGGGCAAGUCGGAUGUGAAAUUCCAGGGCUCAACCCGGGAACUGCAUUUGAAACUGUUUUUCUUGAGUGAUGGAGAGGCAGGCGGAAUUCCGGGUGUAGCGGUGAAAUGCGUAGAUAUACGGAGGAACACCAGUGGCGAAGGCGGCCUGCUGGACAUUAACUGACGCUGAGGCGCGAAAGCGUGGGGAGCAAACAGGAUUAGAUACCCCUGUAGUC
rnacentral:rRNA from 1 species